rnacentral:rRNA from 1 species
UACAGAGGAUGCGAGCGUUAUCCGGAUUUAUUGGGUUUAAAGGGUGCGUAGGCGGUCCGUUAAGUCAGCGGUAAAAUUGCGGGGCUCAACCCCGUCGAGCCGUUGAAACUGGCAGACUUGAGUUGGCGAGAAGUACGCGGAAUGCGCGGUGUAGCGGUGAAAUGCAUAGAUAUCGCGCAGAACCCCGAUUGCGAAGGCAGCAUACCGGUGCACAACUGACGCUCAGGCACGAAAGCGUGGGUAUCGAACAGG